rnacentral:rRNA from 1 species
AGUCUGACCAGCCAUGCCGCGUGCAGGAUGACGGUCCUAUGGAUUGUAAACUGCUUUUGCACAGGAAGAAACACUCCGACGUGUCGGAGCUUGACGGUACUGUGAGAAUAAGGAUCGGCUAACUCCGUGCCAGCAGCCGCGGUAAUACGGAGGAUCCGAGCGUUAUCCGGAAUCAUUGGGUUUAAAGGGUCCGUAGGCGGUCUUGUAAGUCAGUGGUGAAAGCCCAUCGCUCAACGGUGGAACGGCCAUUGAUACUGCAGGACUUGAAUUAUUGGGAAGUAACUAGAAUAUGUAUUGUAGCGGUGAAAUGCUUAGAGAUUACAUGGAAUACCAAUUGCGAAGGCAGGUUACUACCAAUUUAUUGACGCUGAUGGACGAAAGCGUGGGUAGCGAACAGGAUUAGAUACCCUGGUAGUCCACGCCGUAAACGAUGGAUACUAGCUGUUGGGAGCAAUCUCAGUGGCUAAGCGAAAGUGAUAAGUAUCCCACCUGGGGAGUACGAACGCAAGUUUGAAACUCAAAGGAAUUGACGGGGGCCCGCACAAGCGGUGGAGCAUGUGGUUUAAUUCGAUGAUACGCGAGGAACCUUACCAAGGCUUAAAUGCAGACUGACCGAUUUGGAAACAGAUCUUUCGC